rnacentral:rRNA from 1 species
GGUCUGAGAGGAUGACCAGCCACACUGGAACUGAGACACGGUCCAGACUCCUACGGGAGGCAGCAGUGGGGAAUAUUGCACAAUGGGCGCAAGCCUGAUGCAGCCAUGCCGCGUGUAUGAAGAAGGCCUUCGGGUUGUAAAGUACUUUCAGCGGGGAGGAAGGUGUUGUGGUUAAUAACCACAGCAAUUGACGUUACCCGCAGAAGAAGCACCGGCUAACUCCGUGCCAGCAGCCGCGGUAAUACGGAGGGUGCAAGCGUUAAUCGGAAUUACUGGGCGUAAAGCGCACGCAGGCGGUCUGUCAAGUCGGAUGUGAAAUCCCCGGGCUCACCCUGGGAACUGCAUUCGAAACUG